rnacentral:rRNA from 1 species
GUUUACUCAAGGGCGUAUGGUGGAUGCCUUGACACAAAGCAGCGAUGAAGGACGCGGCGUAGCGGCGAUACGCCUCGGGGAGGUGCGUAGCAACCUUUGAUCCGGGGAUUUCCGAAUGGGGCAACCCGACACGGCAAACCCGUGCCGUCCGACCGUAAGGUUGGAAGCUUACCUGCUGAAGUGAAACAUCUCAGUAAGCAGAGGAAAAUAGAACGAAGUUAUUCCCCAAGUAGCGGCGAGCGAACAGGGAGAAGCCCAAACCUGUCCUUCGCUCUUUGCUCCGCAAAGAGCUUCGGAACAGCAAGUCAUUGUGACUUGCUGCUCCACAGCUCACUGCGAAGCAGUGAGCGGAGGAUGGGGGUUGUAAGAUACAUACACUACUUUAGCGUGGGUCGAUGCGGACGGUUUCCGCCCGUAUCGAUCUGCGCUUUGAGAAAGGAAAGGUUACAAAAUCUUUCGCUAGCAGAAUCGGCUGGAAAGCCGGACCAAAGGAGGUGAGAGUCCUGUACGCGAAAGCGGAAGAUCCUUUUAGUAUGUAGUCUUAAGUACUUCGAGUUACGAAAAUCUCGGAGGAAGCAUCCCGGACUAUCGGGAAAGGCUAAACAUGCUUUGUGAUCGAUAGUGAACAAGUACCGUGAGGGAAAGGUGAAAAGCAGCCCCGUGAGGGCGGUGAAAUAGACCUGAAACCGUACGCCUACAAGGAACCGGAGCUCAAAUCUUCCGUCGCAAGACGGAGGGCGAGUGACGGUGUGCCUAUUGAAGAAUGAUCCAACGAGUUUACAUAUAUCGCGUAGUCUAACCCGCCUCAGGCGGGGGAGGCGCAGGGAAACCUAGUGUUAAUAGCGCGUGGGUCUAGUACUUCACAAAUCUCGUCAAUUUGACGGAGCGAAUUUUUGAUAGAUUCGCGGCGCGAGGAACGAAGUGUAUUAAGCAAAGCGAAUACACGAGAGACGAACAACAAAGAAGCUGGCUAAAAUUCGCCCGCUUCGAAGAAGAAGCUCAAAAAUAAGCGAGCUCUUCGUUGCUCCUCUUUCGACGUAUCGCUCACGCUUAUACGGCUUCAUCGUCGCGCCUAGAGCUCAUCUAGUUUUGGAGCUUUCAAAUUUGGCGAUAUUUGUGAAGUACUAGACUCGGCGGUAUGUGUAAGACCCGAAGCCAAGCGAGCUUACCUUGGCCAGGGUGAACCCCGCCGAAAGGCGGGGGGAGGCCCGAACCGGUAGGUCGUGCAACACCUUCGGAUGAGCUGAGGUAAGAAGUGAAAAGCUAAUCGAGCUUGGUAAUAGCUGGUUCUCUUCGAAACAGUUUUAGGACUGGCGUCGCGUGUUUCCUUUUGGGGGUAGAGCACUGGAUGGUCUGUAAUGGGCGAAAGCUCGGCAGACCAAUCAAACUCCGAAUACCAGAAGGUUAAGCGCGGCAGUUAGACUGCGGGGGCUAAGCUCCGUGGUCGAGAGGGAAACAGCCCUGACCGCCAUCUAAGGUCCCUAAAUCUGCGCUAAGUGUUAAAGGUAGUCGUAGACCAUAGACAGGUAGGAGGUUGGCUUAGAGGUAGCCAUCCUUUAAAGAGUGUGUAACAACUCACUACUCGAUGGUAAGCGGCGCCGAAAAUUUACCGGGGCUCAAGCGCAGUACCGAAGAUGCGGCUCGACACUUUCUUUUUGUAUCGGGCGAUUUCAGUUUGGCCUGAUACAAAGAGAACGUGUCGGGGGUAGAAGAGCAUUUCCAGGGCGGUGAAGGCCAACCCGGGAGGGUGGCUGGAGCGCUGGGAAGAGAGAAUGUUGGAAUGAGUAACCCACUAAGCCGGUGAGAAACCGGCUCCCCGAAAAUCCAAGGUUUCCGUGGCAAUGGCAAUCAGCUACGGGUGAGGCGGCCCUAAGGCAAUGGCGAAAGCCGAAGCUGAUGGACAGCUGGUUAAUACUCCAGCCCUUCCGCACAUUUCGAUGAAGGGACGAGGCGCAGUACGCCGAUCAUCUUAUUGGUUUGGUGUUCUUGGCUCGAGGAUGGUGUCUUGGCAAAUCCGGACACCUGCGUUCAAUCGCGAAUCCCAGUGCAGAGACGAGUCGGAGUUCUUACUCCGAUUAGUCGGCAGAGCGCGCUUCCGAGAAAAACUUCUAAGGUUAAGUGUGUGGAAUCCGUACCGUAAACCGACACUGGUGGAUAGGGCGAGAAGCCCAAGGGGUACGAGUGAUUUCUCGUCAAGGAACUCGGCAAAAAAGCGGCCGUAAGUUAGCGAUAAGGCCUGCCCGACUUUCCGCAAGGAAAGAAGGGCCGCAGCGAAAGUAUCUCUAGCAACUGUUUACCAAAAACACAGCUCCCUGCGAACUCGCAAGAGGAUGUAUAGGGGGUGACGCCUGACCGAUGCGAGAAGGUUAAGAUUGGCGGUCUGCGGUAGUAAUAUUGUAGGCUGACUGGUUCAAGCCCUCGUCAAUGUCAGCGGUAACUAUAACCGUUCUAAGGUAGCGCAAUUCCUUUCCGGGUAAGUUCCGGAGCGCACGAAUGGCGUAAUGACUAGAGAACUGUCUCGACGAGAAGCUCGGUGAAAAUGCGAUUCCCGUGAAGACGCGGGAUACCUGCAGCGGGACGAAAAGACCCCGGGAGCUUUACUGUAGCCUGGCAUUGGCUCUAAGGCUUGGAUGCGUAGUGUAGUGGGUAGAGGUUGAAACCCCGAUUUCGGUUGGGGCGGACUCGACAAUGAAACACCCACCUUCCAAAUUUUAGAUUCUAACCUGAAGGGAGUGGCAAAACCUAAACCCUUUGGGGACAGUGCUUGGUGGGCAGUUUUUCUGGGGCGGAAUCCUCCCAAAGAGUAACGGAGGAGUUUAUCAAGGUCGGCUAGGGUCGGAUGGAAAUCGACCUCGUCGUGUAAAGGCACAAGCCGGCUUAACUGCAAGACUUACAAGUCGCGCAGAUGCGAAAGCAGAACUUAGCGACCCGACGGCUCUCUAUAGGAAGGCCGGAGAUAUCGGACAAAAGCUACCCCGGGGAUAACAGGCUGGUGUGAUCCGAGAGUCCAUAUCGACGAUCACGCUCGGCACCUCGAUGUCGGCUCACCCUAGCUCGGGGCUGAAGAAGGUCCCAAGAGUUUGGCUGUUCGCCAAUUAAAAGGGUACGCGAGCUGGGUUCAAACCGUCGUGAGACAGGUUGGUCUCUAUCUGCUGCAGGCGUCUAACACUUGAGGGAAGUCAACCCUAGUACGAGAGGACCGGGUUGAACGAACCGCUGGUCUACCGGCUUUGGUACCAACUGAAUUGCCGGGUAGCUAUGUUCGGCGGGGAUAAGCGCUGAAGGCAUCUAAGCACGAAGCCCAUCCCAAGAUUAGGUGCAGGUCCCUGGGAGAUGACCAGGUUGAUAGGCUCUAGGUGUAAGCUCCGCAAGGAGUGCCCAAUUCCGCUUGAUGGAAUAGAUGGACGA